rnacentral:rRNA from 1 species
UACGAAGGGGCUAGGCGUUGCUCGGAAUCACUGGGCGUAAAGCGCACGUAGGCGGAUUGUUAAGUCAGGGGUGAAAUCCUGGAGCUCAACUCCAGAACUGCCUUUGAUACUGGCGAUCUCGAGUCCGGGAGAGGUGAGUGGAACUGCGAGUGUAGAGGUGAAAUUCGUAGAUAUUCGCAAGAACACCAGUGGCGAAGGCGGCUCACUGGCCCGGUACUGACGCUGAGGUGCGAAAGCGUGGGAGCAACAGG